UACGAAGGGGGCUAGCGUUGCUCGGAAUCACUGGGCGUAAAGGGUGCGUAGGCGGGUUUUUAAGUCAGGGGUGAAAUCCUGGAGCUCAACUCCAGAACUGCCUUUGAUACUGAAGAUCUUGAGUCCGGGAGAGGUGAGUGGAACUGCGAGUGUAGAGGUGAAAUUCGUAGAUAUUCGCAAGAACACCAGUGGCGAAGGCGGCUCACUGGCCCGGUACAGACGCUGAGGCACGAAAGCGUGGGGAGCAAACAGG
rnacentral:rRNA from 1 species